rnacentral:lncRNA from 1 species
UCACUAAUGUUGCAGGUCACGAUGGCACCAAAACACCAUCUAACUUUCACCCCCGCAUCUCAACAAGUCCGAUGCAUACUCCAUCCACCUCCGCAUUAGCUUCGGCUUCGCAGGCACAUACUUCUCCUACCGGCAUAUCUAAGCCUCUACUGAUAGCCACGUCGCCAGCCUGUGCAUCUCCGACACAUACUCCACCCAUCGAUCUAGCUCCACCGAUAUCCACAUC